GAUGAAGAACGCAGCGAAAUGCGAUACUUGGUGUGAAUUGCAGAAUCCCGUGAACCAUCGAGUCUUUGAACGCAAGUUGCGCCCGAAGCCAUUAGGCCGAGGGCACGCCUGCCUGGGCGUCACACGUCGUUGCCCCCCCAUCUACUCCUUCGGGAUUGCGGGGGGCGGAUGAUGGCCUCCCGUGCGCCUCGUCGCGCGGUUGGCAUAAAUGCCAAGUCCUCGGCGACGCACGCCACGACAAUCGGUGGUUGCGAAACCUCGGUUGCCCGUCGUGUGCGGUCGUCGCGCAUCGAGGGCUCGAAAAAAUUGCCGGGCUCCGGCUCGGCUUUCAACGCGACCCCAGGUCAGGCGGGGUUACCCGCUGAAUUUAAGCAUAUCGAUAAGCGGAGGA
rnacentral:misc_RNA from 1 species